CCUACGGGAGGCAGCAGUGGGGAAUCUUGCGCAAUGGGCGAAAGCCUGACGCAGCAACGCCGCGUGCGGGAAGAAGGCUCUCGGGUUGUAAACCGCUUUCAGCAGGAACGAAAAUGACGGUACUUGCAGAAGAAGGUGCGGCCAACUACGUGCCAGCAGCCGCGGUGACACGUAGGCACCAAGCGUUGUCCGGAUUUAUUGGGCGUAAAGAGCUCGUAGGCGGUUCGGUAAGUCAGGUGUGAAAACUUUGGGCUUAACCCAAAGCCUGCAUCUGAUACUGCCGUGACUAGAGUUCGGUAGGGGAGUGGGGAAUUCCUAGUGUAGCGGUGAAAUGCGCAGAUAUUAGGAGGAACACCGGUGGCGAAGGCGCCACUCUGGGCCGAAACUGACGCUGAGGAGCGAAAGCGUGGGUAGCAAACAGGAUUAGAUACCCUGGUAGUCCACGCCGUAAACGUUGGGCACUAGGUGUGGGUUCCAACCAACGGAAUCCGCGCCGUCGCUAACGCAUUAAGUGCCCGCCUGGGGAGUACGGCCGCAAGUAAACGUACAAUAGAAUAGAG
rnacentral:rRNA from 1 species